rnacentral:tRNA from 1 species
GCUCAUAUAGCUCAGUUGGUAGAGCACACCCUUGGUAAGGGUGAGGUCAGCAGUUCGAAUCUGCUUCUGAGCUCCA